rnacentral:rRNA from 1 species
CGUUGAUUUUUUUACAGGUGUUGCACGACUGUCGUCAGCUCGUGUUGUGAAACGUUUGGUUCAUUCCUUUAACGAGCAAAACUCUUAUUUUUAAUUGUCUUAAUUUUACGUUUAUUUAAAUUUUUAUUUUAAAAUUUAAAAUCCGCUUUAAAAAAACAGCCAGUGAUGAAUUGGAGGAAGAUAAGAAUAAAGUCAAGUCUCUGUGGCCCUUAUGGAUUGGGCUAUACACGUGCUACAAUGAAAAUUACAAUAAGUUACAAAAAAUUAAAAUUUUAGUUAAUCUCUUAAAAGUUUUCGUAGUUCGAAUUAUAAACUGAAACCCGUUUAUAUGAAGUUGGAAUCGAUAGUAAUCGCAAAUCAUAAUGUUGCGGUGAAUAUGUACACUGGUCUUGCACACACCGCCCGUCACAUCCGAAGAAUUAAUUUUGCUUGAAG